rnacentral:rRNA from 1 species
UACAGAGGUCUCAAGCGUUGUUCGGAUUCAUUGGGCGUAAAGGGUGCGUAGGCGGUUUGGUAAGCCGGGUGUGAAACCCUCGAGCUCAACUCGGGGCGGCCACUCGGAACUGCUAUGACUUGAGUCUGGUAGGGGAACACGGAAUACCUGGUGUAGCGGUGAAAUGCUUAGAUAUCAGGUGGAACACCAGUGGCGAAGGCGGUGUUCUGGGCCAGUACUGACGCUGAGGCGCGAAAGCGUGGGGAGCGAACAGG